GAUGAACGCUGGCGGCGUGCCUAAUACAUGCAAGUCGAGCGAACAGACGAGGAGCUUGCUCCUCUGACGUUAGCGGCGGACGGGUGAGUAACACGAGGAUAACCUACCUAUAAGACUGGGAUAACUUCGGGAAACCGGAGCUAAUACCGGAUAAUAUAUUGAACCGCAUGGUUCAAUAGUGAAAGACGGUUUUGCUGUCACUUAUAGAUGGAUCCGCGCCGCAUUAGCUAGUUGGUAAGGUAACGGCUUACCAAGGCAACGAUGCGUAGCCGACCUGAGAGGGUGAUCGGCCACACUGGAACUGAGACACGGUCCAGACUCCUACGGGAGGCAGCAGUAGGGAAUCUUCCGCAAUGGGCGAAAGCUUGACGGAGCAACGCCGCGUGAGUGAUGAAGGUCUUCGGAUCGUAAAACUCUGUUAUUAGGGAAGAACAAAUGUGUAAGUAACUAUGCACGUCUUGACGGUACCUAAUCAGAAAGCCACGGCUAACUACGUG
rnacentral:rRNA from 1 species